UACGGAGGGGGCUAGCGUUGUUCGGAAUUACUGGGCGUAAAGCGCACGUAGGCGGCUUUGUAAGUUAGAGGUGAAAGCCCAGGGCUUAACCCUGGAAUUGCCUUUAAGACUGCAUCGCUAGAAUCGUGGAGAGGUAAGUGGAAUUCCGAGUGUAGAGGUGAAAUUCGUAGAUAUUCGGAAGAACACCAGUGGCGAAGGCGACUUACUGGACACGUAUUGACGCUGAGGUGCG
rnacentral:rRNA from 1 species